rnacentral:rRNA from 1 species
UACGGGAGGUGCAAGCGUUGUUCGGAGUUACUGGGCGUAAAGCGCACGUAGGUGGGCUUGUAAGUCGGAUGUGAAAUCCCUCGGCUCAACUGAGGAAGUGCAUCCGAAACUGGCAGGCUUGAGUACUAAAGAGGGUCGCGGAAUUCCCGGUGUAGAGGUGAAAUUCGUAGAUAUUCGGAAGAACACCAGUGGCGAAGGCGACUUACUGGACACGUAUUGACGCUGAGGUGCGAAAGCGUGGGGAGCAAACAGG